AGUAGUACAAGUAACAAUAAAAUUUGCAAUUCACAAGUCAUCUCAUCGAUGCUCGACGAGUUAAAUGAUUAUGUGAAAUCUCUAUAGCUUCGUGGAAUUGCGUGCACGUACAAGUUCAUGAGCAGUAACUUUCACUGAUGGUUGUCAUUUUUCCCCCAUUUCCAUUUCUCUGAAAUAAAUCGGCCUGGUUUAUCCGUUGCAGGUCUUGAGCAUGAGUAGUCCAGGAGCUCCUGGGGCACUUCUUCCCCUCCUCGCAAAAUCGCAAACUGAGUCUAUACCAAACUUUUGUAUUUGGAUAAAGUGAAUAUAUAGCUCCAUGUUGUGACUAUAGGCAUCAAGAACAUAUGAAAGACAAUGACAUAUUAUUUUUGCACCUCUAUACUGCUGGUUGCACUACUUUAUGGGCAUAAUUUUCGCUAGUCUUAGAACUCCGCUUGCAUUGUAUAGUUGGGAUUUAUAUUUGAUUCUUUUGUGUUUUUCAUGGCUUUCAUUUGCUUGUGUGUAACCAACUAAUUAUAAUUUACCAAUACAACUGCUGAUGAAUCAACAGUUCAUCCAAGUCCAUGCUUUUUUCUAGAAUGUCCAUGCACUCGAUUGAUUUUCACUGAAUAAACAACUAACAAAUGAAUGACUGAAAACAAGCAAAUAGAGUCAUAGCAAACAAAGUCGAUACGACGAUGAACUUUGUAUUCAACUGGUAAGCAAAAACAGUGACAAACUUGUUUGAUUUUCAGCUAUACAGCUAGCUAGUGUUGUCAUCGAUCAACCACUCACUGUCUACCGGUGGCCCAAGCAUAUGGAGGAAUUCCCGGUCUCCGCGACGGACGAGCCCUUACGGCGGAACAAAGGUACCAGCCAGUCGAUGAUUCCUUUGUUAAAAGGUUUGCAUAAUUGAGCUGCUAGAAUCUUGUUAAGUAAAGUACUCCUUAACAAGCUCAUCAUCAAGCUCAGUGAAGUUAGCUAACCGAGUGAAGGAGAGCUAAGACAUUAAGCUAUCAUCAAGCUCAGUGGGAGCCAUUAAUGGCCAUCAGACCCUCUAGAAUGUCCUGGUAUAGUAGUGGGUCUGCCGUAGUGGACUCUUGUAGUGUUAAGGAAAGCAUCAAGUAGAAAUUAUCUAACCGAGUGAAGGAGAGAUAAGACAUUAAGCUAUCAUCAAGCUCAGUUGGAGCCAUUAAUGGCCAUCAGACCCUCUAGAAUGUACUGGUAUAGUAGUGGGUCUGCCGUAGUGGACUCUUGUAGUGUUAAGGAAAGCAUCAAGUAGAAAUUAUCUAACCGAGUGAAGGAGAGAUAAGACAUUAAGCUAUCAUCAAGCUCAGUUGGAGCCAUUAAUGGCCAUCAGACCCUCUAGAAUGUACUGGUAUAGUAGUGGGUCUGCCGUAGUGGACCCUUGUAGUGUUAAGGAAAGCAUCAAGUAGAAAUUAUCUAACUGGGUCAAGGAGAGAUAAGACAUUAGGCUAUCAUCAAGCUGAGUGGGAGCUAUUAAUGGCCACCCGACCCUCUAGAAUGUAGGUAUAUAGUAGUAGGUCUGCCGUAGUGGGCUUUUGUAGUGUUGUUAAGGAAAGCAUCAACUAGAAGUUAUCUAACCGAGUGAAGGAAAGAUAUGACAUUAAGCUUUCAUCAAGCUCAGUGGGAGCCAUUGAUGGCCAUCCGAGUCUCUGAGGAGUCAUCUGUAGAAUGCCGUGUGGGGUUUAGGUGUUACUCAUUUGGGGAUAAACCCGUGUCAACACACUUUCCUCUCUGGGCAAAAUCAAGGCUUUGUGAGAGGCCCGGGGCUAUAUAGUGCAGGGCACACAACCAUCACCAGCCAGUCAGCCCAUCAGCAGGUUGUAAUUUUCCUCGAGCUCUGUUUGUCUCUCUCUCUCUCAGGAGCAGGAGGUUGUGGUUCGUGCGACCAAGAGCCCCAGCGCGAGCCCCAGCACCAGCGAUCAGGCAUGUCCAGCGCGGUGCUCUACGGCAAUUACCCGGGGUCCUCCUUGUGGCAGGAGGCCACCCCGGGCCAGCGGACGGCCGCCAUGGCUGGCUGCAUCGUUCUGGCUACCGCCGUCGUCUUGGCAGUGAGCUGGUGUUUCAGCAAGGCCAAGGCGAAGCCCAAGGCGACCGCGUGCCUGCAGCGAAUCGCCAGACGGUGUUAGCUGUAGUGUGUUUGUGCAGAGAUACGUGCGAGGCGUACACCUGGUGGUUCAGUUGGAAGAGCAUGUAUGGAGAGACUCCAACGUGCAGUGAGAAGCUGUUGCAUGCAAAGAUCUGAAGCUAACAGGAUGCACAAGUUAUCUAGGAAGUUGUUAUACAUGCAUGUGUUAGUGGCAUAAGAAUAGGUCGUGGCUUAGUUGGUUAGUGGAGCAGGUCGUGUGCGCAAGAUCCGGGCAUGUUGGCCGGGCACCGUGUGCGAGCUAGCUACUUAAAGCGUUGUAAUCCAGUUUAUUUGAAAAGGUGAAAAAGUGUGAAGAAAACUUGUGGCUGUGUGACACAACGCAAGGCCAAAA